rnacentral:tRNA from 1 species
GGAGGCUUUAGCUUAAUUAAAGUAGCCGAUUUGCAAUUGGUAGAUGUGGAUUAUAGUUCUGCAGGUCUU